UACGAAGGGGGCUAGCGUUGCUCGGAAUCACUGGGCGUAAAGGGCGCGUAGGCGGCCAUUCAAGUCGGGGGUGAAAGCCUGUGGCUCAACCACAGAAUUGCCUUCGAUACUGUUUGGCUUGAGUUUGGUAGAGGUUGGUGGAACUGCGAGUGUAGAGGUGAAAUUCGUAGAUAUUGCAAGAACACCAGUGGCGAAGGCGGCCAACUGGACCAAUACUGACGCUG
rnacentral:rRNA from 1 species